rnacentral:rRNA from 1 species
AAACUUACCAGGUCAAGACAUGGGCGUGAUUGACAGGCUAAUGACUUUUCUCGAUUCCAUGGAUGGUGGUGCAUGGUCGCACUUAGUUGGUGCAGUGAUUUGUCAGGUUUAUUCCGGUAACGAACGAGACCUCGGCCUUGUAAAUAGCUAUGCUGCUUACAGGGAUAUUGGCGGCUACGCCAAGGAAGCUCGAGGCAAUUGCAGAUCUGGAAUGCCCUUAGAUGUCCUGGGUCGCACGCGUGCUACAAUGACGCCACGAACGAGCUUGCGUGAUGAAAGUUACGCAUAAUCAGCAGUCGGCGUCUUAAGGGAUAGUCUCUUGUAACUGUGGGACUCCAACUAGGAAUGUCUCGUAAGCACAAGUCAACAUCUUGUGUUGAUUACGUCCCUGCUCUUUGUACACACCGCCCGUCGCUCCUACCGAUCGAGUGUUUAGGUGAAUUUGAUGGACGUAAGGAAGUCAAAUAAACCUGAGCACUAGAGAAGAGAAGUCGAGCAUC